rnacentral:rRNA from 1 species
AACGAACGCUGGCGGCAGGCCUAACACAUGCAAGUCGAGCGAGGACUUCGGUCCUAGCGGCGGACGGGUGAGUAACGCGUGGGAACGUGCCCUUUGCUUCGGAAUAGCCCUGGGAAACUGGGAGUAAUACCGGAUGAGCCCUUUGGGGGAAAGAUUUAUCGGCGAAGGAUCGGCCCGCGUUGGAUUAGGUAGUUGGUGGGGUAAUGGCCUACCAAGCCGACGAUCCAUAGCUGGUUUGAGAGGAUGAUCAGCCACACUGGGACUGAGACACGGCCCAGACUCCUACGGGAGGCAGCAGUGGGGAAUCUUAGACAAUGGGGGAAACCCUGAUCUAGCCAUGCCGCGUGAGCGAUGAAGGCCUUAGGGUUGUAAAGCUCUUUCAGCUGGGAAGAUGAUGACGGUACCAGCAGAAGAAGCCCCGGCUAACUCCGUG